CUGCUGAAGUCAGAUAGCUUUGAUAAUGAGUAAGGAUGGUAGAUAGACAUUGAGCUGCUGAAGUCAGAUAGCUGGUUUGAUGAGUAAGGAUGGUAGACAUUAUUGAGCUGCUGAAGUCAGAUAGCUGGUUUGAUGAGUAAGGGUGAUAGACAUUGGGCUGCUGAAGUCAGAUAGCUGGGUUAAUGAGUAAGGGUGAUAGACAUUGGGCUGCUGAAGUCAGAUAGCUUUGAUAAUGAGUAAGGGUGAUAGACAUUGGGCUGCUGAAGUCAGAUAGCUGGGUUAAUGAGUAAGGGUGAUAGACAUUGGGCUGCUGAAGUCAGAUAGCUGGUUUGAUGAGUAAGGAUGGUAGACAUUAUUGAGCUGCUGAAGUCAGAUAGCUGGUUUGAUGGGUAAGGAUGGCAGACAUUGAACUGCUAAAGUGUGUGUAUCAUGUAUCAUGCAUCAUGCAUCAGGUGUCAUUGUCAUCCAUCAUUGCUUUGAGAGAAACAUCACAUGCAAGACACGGCCUGUUGACUGUUUCAAUAUGAAAUUUAAAAAAGCUUCCAGUUAAUUGAUUUGAGACUGACUUGUUUUGACUGUAAUGCUGCACCAAAUUAUGCUGUCUGCUCCAAAACAUUUGGAGACCACUUGCCUGAACAUGAAUCAAAUAAUCAUUGUCACCGGAUUUUACUGUUUUAUGAACUAUUCUAGCUGAGCGGGUUUAGUUUUACGCCACACUCAGCAAUAUUCCAGCUAUAUGGGGUCUGUAAAUAAUCAAAUCUGGACCAGACAAUCCAGUGAUCAACAGUUUGAGCAUCGCUCUAUGCAACUGGGAUACGAUGACAUGUGUCAGCGAGCCUGACCACCCAAUCACGUUACGACAAGCAUGGGUUACUGAAGAUCAGGUUACUGGACCAACCAGAACUUUUCUGGACAAGUGUAUAAAGUUGCAAACUAAAAUGGAUUAUUGAUAUGUGCAUGGAUAAUGGAUGUGUGGAUGGACCACUCACUGCAAGAUGAGGGCACCUGUUGGGCCAAUGAGGAAACAGCAUCUGUCAGUGAGACUAGACAGGAGGUCAAUAACCAUGUUAUCGACCAUCUUCUCUACAACAUACAGCUUUUAUGCUUUAUGGUCUGUGACAGUUGUGAUCCACUGUAUUCAUUGGAUGAGAACAUUUGUGUAUCAUUGAUAUGUUCAAUAAAACAUAAAACAU